AGAUUUAUUCCCCUGCAGUCCAUACAUCCCCAGCCCGUGCACCUUCUCAUCCUCCCCUUCAGAUAACACUUAUCUUCUCUGUGAGGUCCUUCUCCUGUGCAGACCUGUGUCCUUAGAAUACAGAGCAGGGGAAGGGGAGGGGAGGUGAGGAGCUGUGUACUCAGCUGGAUGAGAUGAGGGGGCAUGGCUUAAAAAAAAAAGCUGAGACAUCUUGUCCACAACAGACUCAGAACUGUGGACAAUGGUAAAAGAAAACCCUCGGAACUACAGAACUUCCUGCCCAACAAACAGAUACGUAUCUGUAAUAUUGUGUUAACGGGAUCUGUCUAUGCUACCCUUAGUAGAUGAAGAGGGGUAUACCUAUAGGAGAUACAAUAUUUGUGAAUCUGGAGAAAGACAGGCUUUCACUCUUUCGCAUGGGAGGGGAUGAACACCUGGAAUUAUAUUAACAUCUGGCCCAAGACCCACAAUAGGAGUUGAAAAGUACCUAUUGCCUUGCAAUGGUGUCGGAAGGGGACACUUGGAUCUUCCGACCAAUGGACAAGUUUUGAUUUCUCUUGCCUAGCUGUAUGAAAAUUCACAAAAACAUCAUACCUUUCCUGCUGCAUCGGCAACAUAUACAUUUGUAUCUAUCACUCUGGAUCUUCGUUACCCAUUAUGGACUCUCUUUUGAGAGCACAGAUUGGAGGUGGGAGACCUAAACAUGUGCUGAUCCUGUGUAAUUAUGGACAAAGACAUAUGUAUAUACACGUAUACACAUUUUGUGGACACCUGACUUUAAACUUGACUCUUUAAGGGUUGUGGACUCUUCUGCUAACUA